rnacentral:tRNA from 1 species
UGACAUGUAGCUGAGAGGUACAGCAACCGACUGUUAAUCGGAAGAUCGUAGGUUCGAUCCCUACCAUGUCAG